rnacentral:rRNA from 1 species
CCCUUAGAUGUUCUGGGCCGCACGCGCGCUACACUGACGGAGGCAGCGAGCGUGUCCUUCGCCGGCAGGUGCGGGCAAUCUUGCGAGUCUCCGUCGUGCUGGGGAUAGAUGGUUGCAAUUGUCGAUCUUGAACGAGGAAUUCCUAGUAAGCGCGAGUCAUCAGCUCGUGCUGAUUACGUCCCUGCCCUUUGUACACACCGCCCGUCGCUCCUACCGAUUGAGUGCUCAGGUGAAUAAUUCGGACUGCAGCAAUGUUUGGAUCCCGAACGUUGCAGCGGAAAGUUUAGUGAACCUUAUCACUUAGAGGAAGGAGAAGUCGUAACA